rnacentral:misc_RNA from 1 species
GAAUUGCGAUAAGUAAUGUGAAUUGCAGAAUUCAGUGAAUCAUCAAAUCUUUGAACGCACAUUGCGCUUUCUGGUAUUCCGGAAAGCAUGCCUGUUUGAGAAUCGAUCAACUCUCACUUUGAAAGCUGUUCGCAGCAUGAAGGGUGGAUUUGGGUUAUUUGCGAUUUAGCAAUGACCUUCAAAGCAAUGUAUGACCGUGGUCUGUUAAAACAGUACUGUUGGUUUAAGUGCAUGAACGAGGUUAAUUCCUUUUGAUUUCGCUUGAACUUUGUAUUUGUUUGCAAACAUGGUUGUCUCAAAUAAAUAUCUCGAUGGGAUUCGGUAUGAAUCGCAUCUUGAACACUUGGUCUCAAAUCAGGUAGGAAAACCCGCUGAACUUAA